GAGUGGGAACCUUGCCUGGGGAGAGCAUGGAACCUCUGCACCCUUUUCCCAUACCUUGCCCUAUGGUUUUCUUUCAUCUAGGUCUUCCUGAAUUAUAUUCUUCUAUCAUAAGCUGGUGGUCUAGUAAGUAAAAUAUUUCUCUGAUUUCUGUGAGCUGCUCUGACAAAUUGAUCCAACCCAAGGAGGAGAUCUUGGGAACUUCUAAUUUGUAGUCAGUUCGUCAGCAGUAAGAUAACAACUUGGACUUGUGAUUGGCAUUCUGACGUGGAAGAGGUCAUUGGAAUCUCCAAUCUGUAGCCAAUUGGCCAGAAAUGCCCAUGGCAACCAGGACUUGCCAUUGGCAUCUGAAGUGAAGGGAUUGAGCCCUUAACCUGUAGGAUCUGACCCUCUCUCUCAGUGGAUAGUGUCAGAAUUGAGCUGGAUUCUAGAACACUAAGCUGGUGUCUGAGAAUUGCUCAUUGGUGGUAUGGGGAAACUGCCAUCCCGCAGUGGAAUUGGGUCCGAGAACCCAAAACUGUUAUUAAGUCUGAAUCCUUUAGAAAACAAAACUGGAGAAAAAGCCAAUGGGCUAAUGUUUUAUUGGAGGAUACAAUCUGAAGGCAGGGAAAAUGAAGGGAGAAAAAGAUGAAACAUGGAAAAAGAGAAGGCAAACACAAAGAGAGCUACAACAGAAUGCAUCCAGUCUACUGUUUUCAAGUUACACUUCCUUCAACUCUGCAAGUUACCUUCACAUUCAAGCAACUUACUCAUGGGACCACUGAAACAUUUCCUUCUCAGAGAUGGCUUCCCGUCCCACCCUAUUUUAAAAUUGUAAACCUGUCCCAUUGUUGCCUAUCUUUUCCUUGCUUUAUUCUUCUCCAUUGCACUGCUAGCACCUGGUAUACUCUAUAUUUUAAUUAGUUUUUUUUUUCAUAGUGUAGUGUAAGUUCUAUAAGGUCGAGAGUAUCUGGUUUAUCCGUUGCAAUAGCCUCAGUAUCUAGAACAUUGCCUUGACUGUAUUUAUUAAAUUUUUUAAAAUGAAGGAAUAAAUGAAUAUAUCAAAAGACAUACAUG
rnacentral:lncRNA from 1 species